UCUAGUUAAUGCAGUCUCAGG
rnacentral:misc_RNA from 1 species